AACUGUACAGCGAUAACAAAAGACUGUCAAAGUAUUCAGACUUGGGUAUGCCUAUAGGCCAGGUGUCGCCCGUGCCAAAAAACGCUACAGGUAGGCCUAUUAAAAGUCUAUUUGUACUUCUUGACUUCCAACCAUUAGUUGACAUGUAAACAAAGAUGAUUUAGAGGCCCCCUUUGUGACUGCAUUGACCUUUUCCCGUUGACUUAUAAGAUGAUUGGCAGUAAUUGUUUUAUAGUUCUAGAGCUGGUCAUAUUUUUAUUUUAUUGAACCUUUAUUUACACAGGCAAACAAUUAAGAACAAGUUCUUAUUUACAACUGCGGCCUAUGGAGCCCUAUCCCGACUUUAGGCGAUAGUCACACAUACUAUAGACAAACAACUAUUCACACUUACAUUUACACCUAAGGGAAGAGAGACAGUUAAACCAGCAUGCAUGUUUUUUCAACAUGGGAGGAAGAAUGGAUAAAGUUUCCAUUGCCAGGAAAUCUAGACUCUUGCUGAAAGCCCAAGCAUUGUGGUUGUUCCAAAUACACAAAGUGUAAUUGUCUUUAUUUUUUUAUUUGGCAGUAAACUUGAAGUUGGGGUGGCAUUUAACGUAUUGAAGUAUUUUUUGAACUCAUUUUCAGUGUUUUAAGUGCUGCUUUUUAUGAAAUGAACUGAUUGGAAAAUCAAAAGUCAAGUCACUCGUUAUGUUAGGGCAACACAUACUGUAUUUAGUUUAUUUCAAACUUCUAUUAAAAUGUGAGGAAACUUUCUGAGCUUUGCAGGAAUCAUGAUGCAAUUUGUGAGUCUUUGUCGUGAUUCAUCUGUCACAAUGUUUUGAGAGCAAUGCGGAAUCACGCCUCCCUCCUCGCAAUGCUGGUCUGCUUAUUUAGACGUCAAUCUUUUGUCUUCUUUAUGCCUGCAGGACCGGUCCGUCCGGGUUUUCGUAGUCUCGUGCAUACGGAGAUAACCUGAGCUCUUGGUUGCCAUGGAAAUGAGGAGGAAAUGAUCCGCCUCAACCUCCCAGCAUCCAUCGGGGUUGAAGGUGUCUCAUGUUUCACCUUCAAUGUACAGUAAAUGAUCCGACAGUGAUUCAGGUGGCUCUCCUCCCUUAUCGUCACUGAUGAAGCUUUACAUCCGUCCGACAGAAAGCUUAAGAGAGGAGACUUUGCCCCUCUGGGCUGGCUGCUGUGGGAAACGGGCCAUGAUCAAUCAUUAAACUGAAUGGACUCAUAAAAGAAGACAUCUUACACUCCACUCAGUUGUCAUUAUUUUAAGAUCACAACCUUCUGACUUGGAAGUUUUCUCAACUUCACACUCAUUCAUUCCAGCCAGAUUUCUCUGGACUGCUUUAUUGCGACUCAUCAAACUCCUGA